rnacentral:misc_RNA from 1 species
UUUUGAGCUAAUUGAAAUCAUGUUGUGCUAAAUCUCUUAUUCUAGGGUUAAGGAUAUAGCAAAUCAACUUGACUAUGGCUGUAAUUUGAUUUUGGUUCAAUAAAAUUUGGAACAUUCAAUCUCUUGUACACUUAAUGCUUGCUUUGUAUUUAGUACCCACUUUGCAUGAUUUUUAUAAAUCAAAUCAAAAGCAAAAAGGUGAGAUUUGUUAUAAAAUAGACAAGAACUGAACCUAGGGUUCUUGACCUAGAGAUAGGCUAAACUCCAUUGAGAAACUACUUUUGUUUGAAUGAUCAAAAUUCUUAAAGGGUCUUACUUAGGUUAAUCCCAUGAAAAUAGGCGUUACGCAACAUAGGAUUAUUCUCCUUCAAAAUAUAAUUUACCCAUAAUUGGCCAAAAUUAUAUUUUAUGCUUAAUUGAUAUUGUGAACCCCAAGCUCUAGAGCUUUCAUAAAGUGGUUGGUAGUUAUUGUGCUUGAGAAUUCCAUUUAGUUAUUAAUUUAGCUUUUAUUCGUUAAUUUAGAUUUAAUUUAGCUUAAUCCAAUAGCAAUCAUCUAAAUAACUAAAAUUAUUAAUAUCCGAUACUCAACACGGUCCUCGAAGGAAUGAUACCUUUUCUAUAUUAAUUGUUAAUAAUCCGUACACUUGUAGGAUUUCACACAGCAAAACAUUAGGAACUUGACAAGUAUUUUUCAAUAACAUGGUUGAACCAAAGGCAUUAUUAACAUAUAUUUAUAGCACUUGCAUUUCCAAUAUUUAAAUUGCUUCUCCUCUUCUUCCAAACAUGUCAUACUUAUAGUCAAUUUCUAUAAUUAUUCUAUAAUAGCAUAAAACCACAAAUUGUUAUGUUGUGAAAGUUGAAAACUAGAGUUCUGAAAAAGGAACAUCAGUACAUGAACCACCACCACAACAACAACAACAACAUAUACCUCUGAGACAUAAAUUGGAACCAAAACUGUGUUCACACCAAUCCCAAGGCCAACAAGAAAUCUCCCCCACAGUAUUUCAUCCAAGGAAUGGGCUUGUGCACUUACAAGUGCACCAAGAAUUAAUGGAAUUGAGUCCAACUGAAAGGUGCGGCGACAUCCGAGUUUGUCCACAAGAAAACCAGAGUUUAUGCUUCCAAUAAAUGCCCCAGUAAUAAAUAUGCUGACCACAAGUCCCUCAAGAAUUGGGUCUCCUUCAAAACCAAGCUCUCGUGCAACAGAAACAAUAGGGCCAUUCAUCACUCCUAUGUGAUAACCAAAGAGGAAAUUCGACAUAGAAGCAAUCAAAGCGUGAGGAAAGGCAGGCAACCAUCCGAAAUCAGCACUUUCACCUUCCUUUUCUU